rnacentral:rRNA from 1 species
ACGUAGGGAGCGAGCGUUAUCCGGAUUCAUUGGGCGUAAAGCGCGCGUAGGCGGGCGUUUAAGCGGAAUCUCUAAUCCGAGGGCUCAACCCCCGGCCGGAUUCCGAACUGGACGCCUCGAGUUCGGUAGAGGAAGAUGGAAUUCCCGGUGUAGCGGUGGAAUGCGCAGAUAUCGGGAAGAACACCGAUGGCGAAGGCAGUCUUCUGGGCCGCGACUGACGCUGAGGCGCGAAAGCUGGGGGAGCGAACAG